CUAUGGUUUCCGGUGUUCGGUCCAUUUCGCCCCAAACGGAGCGAAAGGAUAAUAGGGAACACGGAAGGAACGGACGCAGACCGCGCGUUCCCCACCGUGGCCGCCCCCGCGACUGUCAGCGGUGAGCGCCCGUCCAAGAACCACUGAUUCGCUCAUCUUGCGGAUCGGGAAGGUGGACGAUGCGCAUCGACCCGCAAGCCAGGAGACCUGCCGAACGCGAACGACCCAU
rnacentral:ncRNA from 2 species